rnacentral:tRNA from 1 species
GCGAGGGUGUCAGAGCCUGGUCAAAUCAAGAUUUUAAAAAGUCAUCAGCGUUUUGAGACCAAAUGACUACGGUUGAGGGCCGUAGGCCUUAGUGGCUGCGCGGGUUCAAAUCCCGUCCCUCGCA